rnacentral:rRNA from 1 species
AGAGUUUGAUUCUGGCUCAGGACGAACGCUGGCGGCGUGCUUAACACAUGCAAGUCGAACGGAGUGUAGCAAUACACUUAGUGGCGGACGGGUGAGUAACACGUGAGCAACCUGCCCUAUACAACGGGAUAACACAGAGAAAUUUGUGCUAAUACGGUAUAAGACCACACUGCGGCAUCGCAGAGGGGUAAAAGCUGAGGCGGUAUAGGAGGGGCUCGCGGCCCAUUAGAUAGUUGGUGAGGUAACGGCCCACCAAGUCGACGAUGGGUAGCCGACCUGAGAGGGUGAUCGGCCACAUUGGAACUGAGAUACGGUCCAA